rnacentral:rRNA from 1 species
GACGAACGCUGGCGGCGUGCUUAACACAUGCAAGUCGAACGGAAAGGCACUGCUUGCAGGGUACUCGAGUGGCGAACGGGUGAGUAACACGUGGGUGAUCUGCCCUGCACUUCGGGAUAAGCCUGGGAAACUGGGUCUAAUACCGGAUAGGAGCCAUUUUUAGUGUGAUGGUUGGAAAGUUUUUUCGGUGUAGGAUGAGCUCGCGGCCUAUCAGCUUGUUGGUGGGGUAAUGGCCUACCAAGGCGGCGACGGGUAGCCGGCCUGAGAGGGUGGACGGCCACAUUGGGACUGAGAGACGGCCCAGACGCCUACGGGAGGCAGCAGUGGGGAAUAUUGCACAAUGGGCGCAAGCCUGAUGCAGCGACGCCGCGUGGGGGAGGACGGCCUUCGGGUUGUAAACUCCUUUCGCUAGGGACGAAGCUUUUUGUGACGGUACCUAGAUAAGAAGCACCGGCUAACUACGUG